ensembl:lncRNA
GACGAAACCGGAAAUCACGCGAGGAGAGCGAGACAACUUUUAAAAUGUUGUUCCAGUAAAUGUGCAUGACAUUAUCAGCUCUGCAUGGACCGUCGGUAUGUAUUUCUUGAGGUAAUCCAGGUUCAGUUGGAACUUUGCAUGGUGAGGAAAGCACCAAUCCUGUGGAUACAGCCUACUCCAUUGACUUUAGAUUGAAUCAGGACAGGAAGUGCUGCUACAUUUAAAAGAUUUUUCGAAUUUACCCCGGGAUUACUCCGUUGGGUUGAACAAAUUGAUGCAGACCAAUGCAAUCCGAAGAAUUGGGAAAUUAAGCUAAACUGGUCCGAAAAUGUCUAAGCAACUUGCUUGUCAGAACUGUGACGUGAAGUUUAACACCAUUCGCAGCUUGAAGCUACAUGUCAGCGGAAUAAAACAUCGAAAGAAAGUGGCAGAGCUGUUCCAGUCAGAUGAGUACCAUGGCCGAGUCUACGUCCCAUUCAUCUUGGUUCUGGGACAUUUGACCAAACAACCCAUGAGCACCCCACAGCCUAUUGUUGGUCUGUGCCUGGUCACAAUUUGUUUGAGUUCAGAGAGGAGUGAUGCGUUCUACCUGUGUCAUGUGUGUGAGGAGAACUGUGGCCAAGGAAAUAUCAUAGACCAUCUGACUUCUGCCGACCAUCUCUCCAACUACUACAACUACACAGACCCGGAUUUGUUGAGUUUCUCCUGGUUGACUGGCUCGAACAAUUCGAAUCAUCUACAGGUGCUCGCUGCCAAAGAUCUGGACCGGAAUGGACCCGGGGUGCUGCGGAUGCUGGACAUGCCUAAGAGUAUGGUUUUGGAUUUGAAGAAGAUUGGCUACUCUAAAGUGAUGCAGGCUCUAACUCAGUCUGAGAGGCUGGAGAAGUGCGUCAGAGCUGGUAGACCGGAGAGGAGGACAAUACAAGAUUACCACAGAGACUCCAGAAGGAAGCAUCCUCUGCUGGGCCGACUGCAAGAAUGUCCCCUCGAAGCGUCGCAUCGGGACCGAUUGUUGAUUUCUCAAAAAAGCGUCCAGCUGUGUUUCAGACAACCUGACCGGACAUCCUCCCUGCCUUAAAAGCUGAAGAAUUUCUGCAGGAAAGGUCCGAGACCACCUCAAGGAAUGUUCAGGAGCCUUCUCACCUCCAUCUACUGCUCCUAAAUUAAUGUUGUCUGCUUUUCAGUCAGUACUGAUAUUUUAAUCGUUCAGUUUGCUCUUUCAGCCUUGACAAGGCAUUGACUUGGACCACUGAGCCACUUGGGAGUAUUCCUCAUGCACAGUUUUCUUUUUGUCAUUUCUUUGCUGCUGCCAGGUGUGGGACAUCUCCCUUCUGUUGAAGGCCGAAGUUAAUAUUUUGACCUUUGUGAAGUAUAAUGUGGGGAGAGGACUGUAUCCACUCUUCUGUAGUUCAUAAAGCUUGCGAGGCCUUUCUCUGUGUAAGACAUGGCAGACUUCCCUGGCCA